rnacentral:tRNA from 1 species
GUCCUGUAGUUACAAUAUCUUGCACCAGACUACGAAUCUGGGGGUCAGGAGUUCGAAUCUCUUCGGGCGCGCCA